rnacentral:rRNA from 1 species
GAUGAACGCUGGCGGCGUGCCUAACACAUGCAAGUCGAGCGGCAGCGAGGGGUGCUUGCACCCUGUCGGCGAGCGGCGGACGGCUGAGUAACGCGUGGGAACGUGCCCCAAAGUGAGGAAUAACUGCCCGAAAGGGUAGCUAAUACCGCAUAUUAUCUUCGGAUCAAAGGAUUUAUCCGCUUUGGGAGCGGCUCGCGUCGGAUUAGGUAGUUGGUGAGGUAAUGGCUCACCAAGCCGACGAUCCGUAGCUGGUCUGAGAGGAUGACCAGCCAGACUGGAACUGAGACACGGUCCAGACUCCUACGGGAGGCAGCAGUAAGGAAUCUUCCACAAUGGGCGAAAGCCUGAUGGAGCAACGCCGCGUGCAGGACGAAGGCCUUCGGGUUGUAAACUGCUUUUAUAAGUGAGGAAUAUGACGGUAACUUAUGAAUAAGAAUCGGCUAACUACGUG